UUUUCGAAUAAACCACCCUCGCUUUGACAGGCAAUCUGUUUGUCCAAACAGCCAAAGAGUUGUUUAAGCGACUGAUAAAGUCUGCACAAGCAUUGUCUUUGUUUUCGAUAGUGUCUUGAUUCAUAGUGUCACUGUCCUCCUGCAAAGAACUUCUCAACAAAUAAAAAGAAAUAUAUAUUCCAGCUCCCAGAUCCCAAUCUUCAAUUUCUGAUUUGUGAUCCUCCAUGGAAGCUGCUAGCCUCCAUAUUUCUGAAUGUUCUUCUGAUAGAAAAAGAGAAUGAGCAACUGAAGUCAUAAAAAUAGUGUGCGCUUUCUGCCACUUUCCGCACUCCAAAAAGUGUUCUAGGGCUUUGCGGAAUUCAGAGUAAUAAUUAAAAUAUGUUGCCAGAGCCUCGUUCAACCAUGCUGAUGGAAUACCUAGAUCCUCCAUAAAUUGCCGCUGCAAGUCCUGAGAACUCCAAGUUUCACAGUACUGGAAGAGUAUUUCCCUAAUAAGAGCGGCUUGCAAAUAAGGACAAUCUUCACGGUGAGGCAUGUGAAGCACCACAUAGACAGCCCAAUGACACUGACCAAGGCAUAGCAGCUGAGAAAUGAA
rnacentral:misc_RNA from 1 species